rnacentral:rRNA from 1 species
UACGUAGGGUGCAAGCGUUGUUCGGAAUUAUUGGGCGUAAAGCGCGUGUAGGUGGCUAGUUAAGUUGGAUGUGAAAUCCCUGGGCUCAACCGAGGAAGUGCAUUCAAAACUGGCUGGCUAGAAGAUAGUAGAGGAAGGUGGAAUUCCAAGUGUAGAGGUGAAAUUCGUAGAUAUUUGGAGGAAUACCGGCGGCGAAGGCGGCCUUCUGGGCUAUUCUUGACACUGAGACGCGAAAGCAUGGGGAGCAAACAGG